rnacentral:rRNA from 1 species
AUGUCGCUCACCCCGUACGCCGGCGGAUCGGGCAGCUCACUGCCGCAGCCGGUGCCGAUGCUCACCGGUGAGAACUACACCGCGUGGGCAAUCAAAGUCGAGGCCAAUCUCGACGCGGCUGGGCUGUGGGAGGCGGUGGUGGUGCCGGAGGACGCAGCGGCGGCGGUGAUCGCCAAGAAGGACAAGCCGGCGCGGGCUUACCUGCUCGGGGCGCUCGCGGAGGAUCUGCUGCUCCAGGUGGCGUCCAAGAAGACGGCGGCGGAGGUGUGGAGCAGCCUCAAGGCGAGGUUCGUCGGGGCGGACCGAGUCCGGGCGGCGCGGCUGGGCACUCUCCGAGGGGAGUUUGAGAUGCUGCGCAUGGCGGAGGGCGACACGCUGGAUGGGUUCGCCUGCAAGCUCGGCGGCAUGGCGGCGCGCUACGUGGGACUCGGGUCGAUGCUGGACGACGCCGCGAUGGUGAAGAAGCUCCUCGAUUCUGUGCUGGAUCGCUUGUACGCGGCGGUGGCCGGAAUCGAGCAGUUUUGCGACGUCUCCACCAUGCCGUUCGAGGACGCGCUCGGUCGCCUGAAGGCCUUGGACGAGGGCUGCAACAACAGUUGCAACCUCUGCGGAGAGGGGAACUUAUGGGCACCAGGUUUGGGUUGGAUAUGCCUGAUUUGGAGAUCCUCCUCGGCACCAGGUUUUUUCAGCUACAUACCACUUUCAUGUCCUUCUCCUCCCAGGUCCCUGCCGUUGCAUACCUUAGCUCCCCUUCUUUAG